rnacentral:rRNA from 1 species
UGGGGAAUUUUGGACAAUGGGCGCAAGCCUGAUCCAGCAAUGCCGCGUGCAGGAUGAAGGCCUUCGGGUUGUAAACUGCUUUUGUACGGAACGAAAAGGCUCUGGCUAAUACCUGGGGCACAUGACGGUACCGUAAGAAUAAGCACCGGCUAACUACGUGCCAGCAGCCGCGGUAAUACGUAGGGUGCGAGCGUUAAUCGGAAUUACUGGGCGUAAAGCGUGCGCAGGCGGUUUUGUAAGACAGAGGUGAAAUCCCCGGGCUCAACCUGGGAACUGCCUUUGUGACUGCAAGGCUGGAGUGCGGCAGAGGGGGAUGGAAUUCCGCGUGUAGCAGUGAAAUGCGUAGAUAUGCGGAGGAACACCGAUGGCGAAGGCAAUCCCCUGGGCCUGCACUGACGCUCAUGCACGAAAGCGUGGGGAGCAAGCAGGAUUAGAUACCCCUGGUAGUCCACGCCCUAAAGCGAUGUCAACUGGUUGUUGGGUCUUAAUUGACUCAGUAACGAAGCUAACGCGUGAAGUUGGACCGCCUGGGGAGUACGGCCGCAAGGUUGAAACUCAAAUGAAUUGACGGGGUCAUAGCUGUUCCU